AUGUACGCCAUUUGCUGUUGUGGAAGGAUUUGUGAGUCAUGAGGAGGUUGUGAGUACGGUGUUGUGCCGCCUGCUAAUUCAUCGUCGGCAGCCUGAGCUUCCCAUGGCGGUGGCGGUAAACCACCGCUAGUUGCAGCACCUAUAAAAGAAACCAAAUUAUGAUUCCAGGUUAUUCGGUUCGGUUAGGUUCUUCAGUUCGAUUUUUUUCGGUUUUUUGUGCGGUUCGUUUUUUUUUUUGGUUUGGUUAAAUCGGUUUUUUCGGUUUCGGUUCUUUCGCUUUUCUGCUCACACCUACCAGGUACUAUUUAUCUAUAUUUGCAUUUUGCAAAAUAAUAUUUUACUUACCGAAACCCGGUGAAGGGGGCUGCUGCGGCGGCGGCGGCGGCUGCUGUUGACCCAUUUGACCAUUCCACACAGGAUUAUUCCCUUGAUUAUACUGGGACCACAACUCAUUCUGAGGUGGGGCCGUGUUGGCAACAUUUCCGUUAGAAUAAAGUGACGGUUGUUGGCCCGGUGUAUACUGAGUUUGAGGUUGUUGGGCCGACACGUUUUGAGGUUGUUGGGCUUGAGGUGCAAACAUGUCCAUAAGUGCUAACGCAUUUGAUUGAGAUACAGGAGUAGCAGCAGGCUGAGCUUCACCCGCAGGGACAAUAGCUAAGGAGCUUGAGGCAUUUGGCGAGCCAAAACCGUCUCCGCUCAAAAGGUCAAAACCGGCAUUGACUUUUUCCGGAGUUGUUGACUGUCCGUUAGUUGGAACCAGAGCAAGAGAAAUCAAAUCAUUCUCGACACCCGAAGGGGCGGUAGAUCUACAGAAGACGAAAAGGGUUAUUUUAGUAGUUAAACUAGUAAACGUAAAGUAAUGCGAAUUUAUAUCAUCUAAUGAAAACGUAUUAUAUUUGACCUGACAAGUUUCUGAAUAAAAUUUAUGUCAACACGUAGACCAACUGAAAACGUACAUAAAAAUAAGCACGAAAACGUUUUAUAUUUGACCCGACUUAUUUCCUAAAAAUAUUACGUCGAAACAUAAGAAAAUCGUGUUUUUUAAAGUUUAAGGAUGGUACCGCGUUCAUAGUUGCUAAUCGCGAUUAUAGUGAGCGCUAUAGCGAACAGUGUAGCGUAGGGCUGGAUCAUCACUAUCUGAUGUUUAGCGCUCAAUAGCGUGAAUUAGCGACACUUAGGGUUUUUUUUUCUUUUCUUUUUCCUUUUUUAAUAAUAAAAACUGAAUUUUUAGGCAUUUAAUCGACCAAACAGCUGUAAUUUUCACUAAUU
rnacentral:lncRNA from 1 species